rnacentral:rRNA from 1 species
AGGCUUGGUGCUUGCACCGAGCGGAUGAGUUGCGAACGGGUGAGUAACGCGUAGGUAACCUGCCUCUUAGCGGGGGAUAACUAUUGGAAACGAUAGCUAAUACCGCAUAAAAGACGAUAUCGCAUGAUAUUGAUUUGAAAGGUGCAAAUGCAUCACUAAGAGAUGGACCUGCGUUGUAUUAGCUAGUUGGUGAGGUAACGGCUCACCAAGGCAACGAUACAUAGCCGACCUGAGAGGGUGAUCGGCCACACUGGGACUGAGACACGGCCCAGACUCCUACGGGAGGCAGCAGUAGGAAAUCUUCGGCAAUGGGGGCAACCCUGACCGAGCAACGCCGCGUGAGUGAAGAAGGUUUUCGGAUCGUAAAGCUCUGUUGUAAGAGAAGAACGAGUGUGAGAGUGGAAAGUUCACACUGUGACGGUAACUUACCAGAAAGGGACGGCUAACUACGUGCCAGCAGCCGCGGUAAUACGUAGGUCCCGAGCGUUAUCCGGAUUUAUUGGGCGUAAAGCGAGCGCAGGCGGUUAGAUAAGUCUGAAGUUAAAGGCUGUGGCUUAACCAUAGUACGCUUUGGAAACUGUUUAACUUGAGUGCAGAAGGGGAGAGUGGAAUUCCAUGUGUAGCGGUGAAAUGCGUAGAUAUAUGGAGGAACACCGGUGGCGAAAGCGGCU